CAUGCAAGUCGAGCGGUAGCACAGAGAGCUUGCUCUCGGGUGACGAGCGGCGGACGGGUGAGUAAUGUCUGGGAAACUGCCUGAUGGAGGGGGAUAACUACUGGAAACGGUAGCUAAUACCGCAUAACGUCGCAAGACCAAAGUGGGGGACCUUCGGGCCUCAUGCCAUCAGAUGUGCCCAGAUGGGAUUAGCUAGUAGGUGAGGCAAUGGCUCACCUAGGCGACGAUCCCUAGCUGGUCUGAGAGGAUGACCAGCCACACUGGAACUGAGACACGGUCCAGACUCCUACGGGAGGCAGCAGUGGGGAAUAUUGCACAAUGGGCGCAAGCCUGAUGCAGCCAUGCCGCGUGUAUGAAGAAGGCCUUCGGGUUGUAAAGUACUUUCAGCGAGGAGGAAGGCAUUAAGGUUAAUAACCUUAGUGAUUGACGUUACUCGCAGAAGAAGCACCGGCUAACUCCGUGCCAGCAGCCGCGGUAAUACGGAGGGUGCAAGCGUUAAUCGGAAUUACUGGGCGUAAAGCGCACGCAGGCGGUCUGUUAAGUCAGAUGUGAAAUCCCCGGGCUCAACCUGGGAACUGCAUUUGAAACUGGCAGGCUUGAGUCUUGUAGAGGGGGGUAGAAUUCCAGGUGUAGCGGUGAAAUGCGUAGAGAUCUGGAGGAAUACCGGUGGCGAAGGCGGCCCCCUGGACAAAGACUGACGCUCAGGUGCGAAAGCGU
rnacentral:rRNA from 1 species